rnacentral:misc_RNA from 1 species
GGAAGUAAAAGUCGUAACAAGGUCUCCGUUGGUGAACCAGCGGAGGGAUCAUUACCGAGUUUACAACUCCCAAACCCAAUGUGAACCAUACCAAACUGUUGCCUCGGCGGGGUCACGCCCCGGGUGCGUCGCAGCCCCGGAACCAGGCGCCCGCCGGAGGGACCAACCAAACUCUUUCUGUAGUCCCCUCGCGGACGUUAUUUUUACAGCUCUGAGCAAAAAUUCAAAAUGAAUCAAAACUUUCAACAACGGAUCUCUUGGUUCUG